GAUCCUGGCUCAGGAUGAACGCUAGCGGCAGGCUUAACACAUGCAAGUCGAGGGGCAGCGGGGAGUAGCAAUACUCCGCCGGCGACCGGCGCACGGGCGCGUAACGCGUAUGCAACCUACCUUUAACAGGGGCAUAACACUGAGAAAUUGGUACUAAUUCCCCAUAACAUUCGAGAAGGCAUCUUCUUGGGUUAAAAGCUCCGGUGGUUAAAGAUGGGCAUGCGUUGUAUUAGCUAGUUGGUGAGGUAACGG
rnacentral:rRNA from 1 species